CAAUCGAGGUUGUUGGGCCGUCGUGGUGGUCGCCAGGGCCGUCGUGAUGUCGGGGACGUGAAGAAGUUUGGUGAUGUUCGAAUUACGGGUGAGAGAGAGAGAGAGAGUGAGAGCGAAGGCGGUGAAAGAGAAAUGAGAGACGUGAAGAAGUUUGCUAAACUUGGUGGGUUUCGAUUUGAAAUCGAAGAAGGGAGAAGACUUGGAAGCCUGGGAAGGUUUCGAAAUGAGAGAGAAACAUGCCCAAUUUUGAUU
rnacentral:lncRNA from 1 species